rnacentral:rRNA from 1 species
AAAACAGAACUGUGGGGACGCAUGUGGAAAGCAUAAGCCGGGAAUGGAAAGACCGGUACAAGCGGGGUAGGUGUGUGACAGGCAAAUCCGUCACAUAAGCCGAAGACGUGAUGUGGAGCGAAAUUAAGUAGUGAAGUAUGUGAGCCAUGUGCCGAGAAAAGCCGCUAUUGUUUUAUAUGUGCCCGUACCGUAAACCGACACAGGUGGAUGAGGAGAGAAUCCUAAGGCCGACGGAAGAAGCAUUGUUAAGGAAUUCGGCAAAAUGACCCCGUAACUUCGGGAGAAGGGGUGCCCACUGAAUGGUGGGCCGCAGAGAAUAGGCUCAAGCAACUGUUUAGCAAAAACACAGGUCUAUGCGAAACCGAAAGGUGAAGUAUAUGGGCUGACACCUGCCCGGUGCUGGAAGGUUAAGAGGAGAGGUUAGCGCAAGCGAAGCUUUGAAUUUAAGCCCCAGUAAACGGCGGCCGUAACAAUAACGGUCCUAAGGUAGCGAAAUUCCUUGUCGGGUAAGUUCCGACCCGCACGAAAGGCGUAAUGAUUUGAGCACUGUCUCGACAAUGCAUCCGGUGAAAUUGAAGUACCAGUGAAGAUGCUGGUUACCCGCGCCAGGACGGAAAGACCCCAUGGAGCUUUACUCCAGUUUGAUACUGGGAUUCGGUACUGCACGUACAGGAUAGGUGGGAGACUGAGAACUAUGGACGCCAGUCUGUAGGGAGUCGCUGUUGGGAUACCACCCCUGUAGUACUGGGUUUCUAACCAUCUGCCGUGAUCCGGCAGUGGGACAAUGUCAGGCGGGGAGUUUGACUGGGGCGGUCGCCUCCGAAAGGGUAUCGGAGGCGCUCAAAGGUUCCCUCAGAAUGGUCGGAAACCAUUUGAAGAGUGCAAAGGCAGAAGGGAGCUUGACUGCGACACCGACGGGUGGAGCAGGUACGAAAGUAGGACUUAGUGAUCCGGUGGUAUAAAGUGGGAUUGCCAUCGCUCAACGGAUAAAAGCUACCCUGGAUAACAGGCUUAUCACUCCCAAGAGUUCACAUCGACGGAGUGGUUUGGCACCUCGAUGUCGGCUCAUCGCAUCCUGGGGCUGUAGCAGGUCCCAAGGGUUGGGCUGUUCGCCCAUUAAAGCGGUACGCGAGCUGGGUUCAGAACGUCGUGGGACAGUUCGGUCCCUAUCCGGCGCGGGCGGAGGAUAUUUGAGAGGAGCUGUCCUUAGUACGAGAGGACCGGGAUGGACGGACCACUGGUGUAUCUGUUGUCGACCAACGGCAUGGCAGAGUAGCCAAGUCUGGAAGGGAUAAACGCUGAAGGCAUCUAAGCGUGAAGCCCCCCUCAAGAUGAGAUAUCCCUCCUUCGGGAGUAAGACCCCUUGAAGACUACAAGGUAGAUAGGGCAGAGGUGGAAGUGUGGCAACACAUGGAGCUGACUGUUACUAAUAGGUCGAGGGCUUGAUGAC